rnacentral:sRNA from 1 species
UUGCCACGUACCAUCCGGCUAUGGAAUGA